UACGGGGGGAGCAAGCGUUGUUCGGAUUUACUGGGCGUAAAGGGCGCGUAGGCGGCGUGACUAGUCACUUGUGAAAUCUCCGGGCUUAACUCGGAACGGUCAAGUGAUACUGUCGUCUAGAGUACAGAAGGGGCAACUGGAAUUCUCGGUGUAGCGGUGAAAUGCGCAGAUAUCAGGAAGAACACCCGUGGCGAAGGCGGUUCUCUGGGACGGUACUGACGCUGAGAACGCGGAAAGCGUGGGGAGCGAACAGG
rnacentral:rRNA from 1 species